CCUACGGGUGGCUGCAGUGGGGAAUAUUGGACAAUGGGCGAAAGCCUGAUCCAGCCAUGCCGCGUGUGUGAAGAAGGCCUUCGGGUUGUAAAGCACUUUCAGUGGGGAAGAAAGCCUUGGGGCUAAUACCCUCGAGGAAGGACAUCACCCACAGAAGAAGCACCGGCUAACUCCGUGCCAGCAGCCGCGGUAAUACGGAGGGUGCGAGCGUUAAUCGGAAUUACUGGGCGUAAAGCGCGCGUAGGCGGUCUGAUAAGCCGGUUGUGAAAGCCCCGGGCUCAACCUGGGAACGGCAUCCGGAACUGUCAGGCUAGAGUGAAGGGGAGGAAGGUAGAAUUCCCGGUGUAGCGGUGAAAUGCGUAGAGAUCGGGAGGAAUACCAGUGGCGAAGGCGGCCUUCUGGACUGACACUGACGCUGAGGUGCGAAAGCGUGGGUAGCAAACAGGAUUAGAUACCCUAGUAGUC
rnacentral:rRNA from 1 species